AUUGAACGCUGGCGGCAGGCCUAACACAUGCAAGUCGAACGAGUGGCGGACGGGUGAGUAAUGUCUGGGAAACUGCCUGAUGGAGGGGGAUAACUACUGGAAACGGUAGCUAAUACUGCAUACCAUCAGAUGUGCCCAGAUGGGAUUAGCUAGUUGGUGGGGUAACGGCCCACCAAGGCGACGAUCCCUAGCUGGUCUGAGAGGAUGACCAGCCACCCUGGAACGGAGACGCGGUCCAGACUCCUACGGGAGGCAGCAGUGGGGAAUAGUGCACAAGGGGCGGAAGCCUGAUGUAGCCAAGCCGCGUGGAGGAAGAAGUCCUGCGUGUUGUAAAGGACUUUCAGCGGGGAGGCGUUACCCGCAGAAGAAGCACCGGCUAACUCCGUGCCAGCAGCCGCGGUAAUUC
rnacentral:rRNA from 1 species